GACGAACGCUGGCGGCGUGCUUAACACAUGCAAGUCGAACGGAAAGGCCCUGCUUUUGUGGGGUGCUCGAGUGGCGAACGGGUGAGUAACACGUGAGUAACCUGCCCUUGACUUUGGGAUAACUUCAGGAAACUGGGGCUAAUACCGGAUAGGAGCUCCUGCUGCAUGGUGGGGGUUGGAAAGUUUCGGCGGUUGGGGAUGGACUCGCGGCUUAUCAGCUUGUUGGUGGGGUAGUGGCUUACCAAGGCUUUGACGGGUAGCCGGCCUGAGAGGGUGACCGGCGACAUUGGGACUGCGAUACGGCCCAGACUCCUACGGGAGGCAGCAGUGGGGAAUAUUGCACAAUGGGCGGAAGCCGGAUGCAGCAACGCCGCGUGCGGGAUGACGGCCUUCGGGUUGUAAACCGCUUUCGCCUGUGACGAAGCGUGAGUGACGGUAAUGGGUAAAGAAGCACCGGCUAACUACGUG
rnacentral:rRNA from 1 species